GCCGCACUUAGGUUGUACUUUUAAGGCCCCGUAAGUCUUGACUGUUUAUUUGGACUAUUUACGACCCUGAUGAAUGAAUUAAGGUAUUAUCGAGCGUUACACAAUGAAGGUCCUGUGCCUAAAAAAUGAUAUGAACGUCUGGAAGGGGUAGAAGUGGGUUUGAUGAGCAAGUUAGGAUUAAUUGAAACAUUCAUGGCUAAAAUAGUCCUUGCACUAAUCACUUGGAGCUUUAAUUUGGAGAUCCAGGUAUGCAUCUCCGUAUGGGAAUGAAGCCCCUUCAAUAAAAAGAUCAGAGUUGUUCAUUCGACCAUCUCUAGUUGACAUUGUGGGGCAGAAUUUUGAUUAGUUUGAAACUGGAUAAUGAGUGGGAGAGACUGCUGUAGAGAAUAGCAGAAGAAAGGUGUGGCUGGAGAGACCUUCUGCUGGCCCAAAAUCAUUUAACGAAGAUUCAUAUAAAAAGGGGAAGCUAGAAAGGUGAAAAAGAUAUUGAAAGGGAGAACUUGGAUUUGAUUUUUGGUUGGUUACAAAUAUUUAAUGUCAUCCCUAUUUUUACUUGUGUAGGGAUGAUUCUAGAUAUUACAAAUAUAGAGUGUUCUGUGCUCUUCCACAAAGAUCCCUCAAAU
rnacentral:lncRNA from 1 species